rnacentral:rRNA from 1 species
UCCGAAGGGGGCUAGCGUUGUUCGGAAUCACUGGGCGUAAAGCGCACGUAGGCGGCUGUGUCAGUCAGGGGUGAAAUCCCGGAGCUCAACUUCGGAACUGCCCUUGAUACAGCACGUCUUGAGUCCGGAAGAGGUGGGUGGAAUUCCUAGUGUAGAGGUGAAAUUCGUAGAUAUUCGCAAGAACACCAGUGGCGAAGGCGGCUCACUGGCCCGAUACUGACGCUGAGGCACGAAAGCGUGGGGAGCAAACAGG